UUGAGAUGUUCACCAAAGCUAACACUUGCUCUGUUCCAAAACCUAGUGAGCUCCCAAUACAGAGGCGUCAUUUUAAGGCAUCAUAGGUGCACACCCGGUGUGAAGGCUGCAGUGCAUGUAUCCAGUGGGUGCAGUGUUGGCCUUUGGAACUGCCAGUCAGCUGUAAACAAAGCUGAAUUCAUUUCUGCCAUUUCUAGCCAAUCAUCUCUCAACAUCCUAUCCUCUGGGAGCCUCUGCCCUCUCCACCAACUUCAGGGGGAGGGGUGGGGGAACAGGUUUGCUUAUCUUCAAUACAUGGAAAUUUACGCCUCUGUCCUCUUUGUGUGACAAUAACUCCUUUGAACUUAAUGCCAUUACUAUCACCCAUCCUGUAAAAAUCAAUUUUGUAGUUAUAUAUCGUCCCCUAAGUAAGCUAGGAAACUUUUUGGAGAAGCUGGAUGUGCUACUAUCAUCCUUCCCUGCCGCAGACUUUCAUACUUUGCUUGCCUCAUUUGACCCAAAUGCAUCACAACUGCAGCAACUCACAAAUCAGGUAACCAGCUGGACCUCAUCUACACACGCAACUGUACCACUUACCAUGUUCUGGUUACUCCACACUUCCCAUCAUUUCUUCCUUAGGUUUAACAUACUGUAUAUCUGCAUAACAUAACACCUUGCCUGCCAAACACUCCUCCUCAGGUGUCAUUUCAACAUAAUCUCCACUCUCUCUCACCUACCUGUCUUUCCACUAUGGUCUCAUCCUCUUUUCCCUCCUCUAACCAGUUCUCCUUGCUUGAUGUCAAUAAUGCUACUAACAUUUAUAAUGCUACAACACUAACAAUGCUCCACUUUAACAUCUCGUCUCUAGACUAUAUCUGUCCCAUCUCCAUACUGUCCUAUCACCCACUGCUUAAGAAACCCACACUAAACCCUGCACUCUUAGAAAAUUACAGACCACUCUUUCUCCUCCCCUUCAUAGCAAAAACACUUGAACUAGUUGUGUUCAACCAGGCCUCCUCUAUUCUCUCCCAGAACAACCUGCAGGACAGUAACCAGUCUGGCUUCAAAAGUGGACACUCAACUGAGACUUCCUUGCUGUCCGUCACCGAAGCACUGCGGCUGGCAAAAGCAGCAUCCAAAUCAUCUGUUCUCAGUCUGCUUGAUCUGUCUGCUUCUUUCUAUAUGGUUAACCAACAGAUCCUACUUUUCCAUCCUCAUGGAAUGGAAAAUCAUCACAGGCAUCACAGGAACCACACUCCGCUGGUUUGAGUCUUACCUCACAGCCUGACGAUCCUACGGUAGCUGCACGGAUCUCAGCCUGCUUGUUAGACAUCUCAAGGUAGAUGAAAAAACACUACCUCAAACUUAACCUAGCAAAGACGUAACUUCUCGUUCUUCUAGCGAGCCCAUCUAUGCAACAUAACUUCACCAUUCAGCAAGACUUGUCAACUAUUACACCAUCCAGGACAGCUAGAAACCUUGGGGUUGUGUUUGACGAUCAGUUGAACUUCACGGACCACAUCGCAAAGACAGCCUGAUCAUGCAGAUUUGCACUGUACAACAUUAGGAAGAUCAGACCUUUCUUGUUUGAGCAUGCUACACAACUUCUUCUCCAAGCUCUUAUCAUACAGUAUCUAGACUGGACUACUGAAAUGCUCUUCUGGCAGGACUUUCUGCAUAAACAUUCAAACCUCUGCAAUUAAUCCACAACGUGGCAGUGCGUUUGGUUUUCAAUGAGCCCAAGACAGCGCAUGUUACACCCCUCUUUUACGAACUUCGCUGGGUGCCAUUGGUUGCUAACGUCAAGUUCAAUCCAAUUACAGAAAAACCACUGGUUCUGAAUAGCCCUAAAGUAAUAAACUCGAUUAAGCUCAAUUUGGUUAAUUUACAUUUAAACUUACAGUACAUACAUUCAGACUCCAUUCAACAUAUUUUGGGUUUUUAUAAAAUGUAUACCUUUAAAAAAUUUUAAGAUUACAUUUUAAAAAUCUCCCAUUGACUUCCAAGUGAUGACAUCAUCGUAAUAUUGGAAUACUGAAUUUGGACUGGUCUUGUCUUCCUUGCAUUAUUUAACCAUUUUGAAUCAGCAGCAUGAAACUUACAGAGUGACCAGUGUAAUCCAAUUCCUGCCAAUGACUCUUAUGAGCCAGUUCAUUUGAUUGUACAACGUGAACCAUACAGCGCGACCAGUGUAGUCCGAUUCCCGAAUGAAUGAAUGAAUGACUCUUAUGAGCGGGUUCUUUUCAAUCUACAGCACGAAACAUACACCAUAACCAGUGUAGUGCAAUUUACGAAUGAGUGACUCGUAUGAGAUUCUUUUGAAUCUAUAAAGCAAAGCAUGUGAUGUUUCCUACUGAACAAAUGAAUUUCAUCAGCCUUUUCUUUUUAGUGAAUCAAAAACGUACUGAACCACAAGUCAUUCAUUUUGUCAUGUCUGACUUGGAAUGAACCAAGAAUGACAAGAAUUCAGAGUAAUUACUGGAUGGUUGUUAAUAGUAGUUAAAGAUACACUUGAUGAGUUUUGUUUUAAUUAGUGGUAUUUUAUAAAAAUGAAUGAAUUAAUAAAAUAAAAUAUCUUAACGUUAUAAAUAACACCAUUUCCUAGAAUCUGUUCUGUUAAAAUAUGAAAUGAUCUCAUCAGAUGGUAACAGACUAAUAAGAAUUGAAUUUCUUAUUUCCAAAUAUUUCUUCCUCAAAAGAACUAAAAGAAUCAUUAAUGAAACCGUUAAGGAACCGUAAUUUUUAAGAGGAAUUAAAAUGUGAAACCGGAAUCGUUAAAUUCCUUAAAAGUGAAGACACAGUGUUA